UUUCUGUGGGAAGCACGAGGGUCUGAAUUUUAUCCUCAGAAUGAAAGGUGGAAGGGAGUAGCUGGGUGGCGAUGGCACAGGCCUUAACUCCCAGCUCUUAGAAGGCAGAUAUCUGAGUUCAAGGCCAGCCUGGUCUACAGAGCGGGUUCCAGGACAGCCAGGGCAACAGAGAAACCUUGUCUCAAAAAAAAAAAGGGGUUGGGGAUUUAGCUCAGUGGUAGAGCGCUUGCCUAGGAAGCACAAGGCCCUGGGUUCGGUCCCCAGCUCCGGAAAAAAAAAAAAAAAGAAAGAAAGAAAGAAAAGAAAAGAAAGAUGGAAGGGAGAACUGACUCCUCCCAUACUGAAUUCUAUACAUUAUUUACAAUACAUAUCAUGUAUCUAUGUAAAUAUAUAAAAUAUAGAUUAGCAUAUAUAUUUUCUGGGUGUUUUUGUGUGUGAAGUGUGUGUGUAUAUAUCUGUGUGUGCUCACACAUGUGUGUAUGUAUGUGGAGACCAGAAGUUGGCAAAGACAGUUUCCUCAGUUUCUCUGUCAUCUCGUUUUCUGAAACAGUUCAGACAGCUUCCUGAACCUGGAGCAGACAGAUCUGGCUAGAUGUCCCAGCCAGCACUCUCCAGGGAUCACCCCAUUUGUUCCUCUCAGCAUCGGGUUUACAAAUGUGUUCUGGCUUUUUACAUGAGUGCUGGGACCUGAACUGAGGUUCUUAUGCUUGAGCAGUGGCUGAGCCAUCUCUCCAGCUACUUUUCUGAUAUAAUAAUAAUGAUAAUAAUAAUAAUCCAAAUGAGAUUUAUUUUAUUAUUUUAUUUAUGUCUAUAUAUGUGGGGAUUGUGGGCUGAUGUCUACAUAUGCAGGUGAGGGCUGGCACAAGUUGGGUCAAGGCCAUGAUUGGGCAGUAAAAAAGUAAGGCAGGGACAAAGUUUUUGUAAGGUGGGAGAGAAGGGAAAGGGAAAGAGUCAAGAUGGAGAUGGAGAAGGACGACACAGAUGCGGGUGGUCUUUUUUUAAAAAUUUAUUUUAUUUAUAUGAGUGCACUGUAGCUGUCGUCAGACACACCAGAAGAGGGCAUCAGAUCCCAUUACAGAUGGUUGUGAGUCACCAUGUGGUUGCUGGGAAUUGAACUCAGGACCUCUGGAAGAGCAGUUAGUGCUCUUAAGCCCCCCGGGUGGUCCUAAAUGGCCCUAGGUAGUUAUAAAUAUUUCUUAAGGGAUGGAUUUCUAUAGGACAAUUCAUCUCAUCCAGGUGGGCGGUUUAUAUCUUUAUCAAUGGGUUGCGAGUUUAUUGUGUGGGUGUAUUGUAAACUAGAAUUUAACACACAAGUCUGACUGUUAAGUUGCAGUUUAUUGAGUCUUGAUUUUACCAGGUAGCUGGAACCAGAGAAUUUGCUGCAAGUAGAGAGCCGCCGGGAGAGAUGCUAACCAGAGCCCUCCAGUGCUGGAACUAACUCUAGGGAGCAGCGUGGCAAGGUGCUAGGCUGGAAGGGCUGCAGACCUCGUGGGUCAGAAAGUACUUGGGGCCAGCAUGGAGCAGUGCUGGGCUGAGAUAAAGACACCCCGCAGAGCCAUGUGGCCCUACAGGGCUGGCACUAUCAUGGAAUAAAAGUUGUUUUUUUAAAUAUUUACCGUAACAGGGGUGGGCAGGGGAUGUGUAUGAACAUUCUGUCCCUGAGGCCAGGAGAGGGUGUUGGAGUCCCUGGACCUGGAGCUGGUUGUGAGCCCCCCUGCCUGGGUGCUGGGAACCGAACUCUAGUCCUCUGAAAGAACAGCAAGUGCCUGCAGCUGCUGACCCAUCUCUCUUCUUCUCUGAUGUUUGGGAGAGAGCGUCUCCCUAUGAAGUUGUAGAUUGCUUGGAACUCAUGAUAUAGACCAAGCCAAUGGUAAACUUUUGGAGAAUCGUCCACUUCCCUUUGACAAGUGCUGGAAUUGAAGGCAUGUGUCACCAUACCCAGCCUGCAUAGCAUAGCAACCAAGUAUAUCUUGGGGCUUUAUUCACUUGGGAGUGCCCACUGCCCAGAGACUCUAUAUCUGGGAAAGUUAUUUUUGUGGGUGGUGGUGUUGGGUGCCUUGUACAAGUUAGCAGAGUAUUCUAAUGCUAAGAUGUGUCUAUAUCUGAAGUGUCAAUCUGCCUGGUAGAGCCUUUGAGAACAGCAAAAAUUCAGCACUAAAAUUUCAGGCUGCAGAUCCAUGUCUAGUCCACUGUUUGUCCUGGUUUUACCACCAUGGCGCUUGUGUUCCAAGCUUCUGUGAAGUGGUUUUCCUCAAGUCCCUCAGUUGCUUCAUGGCUUUGGGAUUAUGCAUGCUUGACGGUCUAAGCUGAUUCAUGAGUGUCCCAAAGGAAAUAUAAGGAUGUGAGUCUCUUGACUGUAUAAUUUUCUGGGUUAUUGACCCAAGUAGUGAACUAUUUCCAUAGUUACAGAAAGAGGAAGGACCUGCUUGCCUUUUUUCUUUUUCUUUUUCCUUUUCCUUUUCUUUUUCUUUUCCUUUUCCUUUUCCUUUCUUUCUUUCUUUCUUUCUUUCUCUCUUUCUCUCUUUCUUUCUUUUUUUUUUUUUGAGAAAGGGUUUCAGUGUAGCCCUGGCUGUCCUGGAACUUGCUCUGUACACUAGGCUGGCCUUGAACUCAGAGAUCCUCUGCCUCCCAAGUACUGGGAUCAAAGGUGUUCACCACCACAGCCUGGCAGUUUGCUUGUUUUUUUUAUGAAGAAGAAAGCUAUUUUCUUUGUAUUCAAAGCUGCCUGUUUUAUUUGGGGUUUGUGGGGGAAGUCAUAGGUGGUUAUAUAAAAAACAGUGGAAUAUUACUGCUUACCAUGAUAUUUUUAGGCUUGACAUUUUUAUUUUUACAUAUAUAAUUUACCUUCAAUACAUAAGAAAAUAAUUUAAGCACCAUGGUAAGAAAAAACCCUCCAGUUCAGAGACUGCCAGUAACCCGGCAAAUGAAUUUGAGUUCUGGGGUCUUGGAAGCCUGGAGUGUGGCAAUUUUUGUGUCUUCCCUAGACAUCUUUUUGAGGUUUGCUUCUGUGGUAUUGGUUGUUAGCCUGAUCCCUUCUAGGACCGACUAUCGCCCUAGCACAUGGCGCUGCUACUGUGUGUUCGCCCGUCUGCUUAAAACUUGCUGUACUAUCUACAUUUAUCAUGGGGUGCAUGUGUGGGUACUGGGGUGUGUGCCAUGGUGUGAGUGUGGGAUAAGUUGAAAGAGUUGAUUCUUUCUACCACAUGUAUGUGUGGAUUUGAACUUACACUGGGACACUUGGAAGCAAUCGCCUUCACUGGCUAAGCCAUCUCACAGGCCCCUGGUCGCAUUUGAUGGAUAGUAGGGUUCAUUCCAUUUAGGGAUGUUAUGCUUAAAGCUGCUGUGAAUUUCUUAAUUUCUUCCUCCUCCUCCUCCUCCUCCUCCUCCUCCUCCUCCUCCUCCUCCUCCUCCUCCUCCUCCUCCACCUCCUCCUCCUCCUCCUCUUCUUUUCCCCCUCUUCUUCUUCUUCCUUCUCUUCUUCCUCCUCCUCUGCCGGGAACCAAGCACGCUUAGUCUCAGAGAUUCUUCUCAGGAAUGCUCUGCUCAUUAUAUGGCCCCUAUCUUCUCAGGAAAAUCAAUCCAGUUAUAGCCUCCAGCCUUGGGACACCUAGCCGGUUGUCUGUUCUUAUCAGUGUAUAACUGUAAUUUAUGAUCUAGGGCUAUAGAAAGGGUGGUGGCAGUGAUGGAUUGUCCUGGGUAACCUUCUCACUUGCUUGUGUUUAUAAGCCGCUGUUUUUUGAAAUAAACUUUGAGAGCUUGAUCAGAACACAGACUUGCUCUCCUUUGCACCUCCUGUCCCCCAUUCUUUUACCCCCUCUCAGAUCUACUCUGAACCCCUGCAGGCCGAGACACCUCCCUUCCUCCCUCCCUCCCUCCCUCCCUCCCUCCCUUCCUUCCUUCCUUCCUGCCUGCCUGCCUGCCUUCCUGCCUUCCUGCCUUCCUCCCUUCCUCCCUUCCUUCUUUCCUUCCUUCCUUCCUUCCUUCCUUCCUUCCUUCCUUCCUUCCUUCCUGCCUGCCUGCCUGCCUGCCUGCCUGUCUGCCUUCCUGCCUUCCUGCCUACCUGCCUUCCUGCCUUCCUGCCUUCCUCCCUUCCUUCCUUCCUGCCUUCCUUCCUUUCUUUCAACAGGUGGCCCUGGCUAACCUUGAACUCACAAAGACCCAUCUGCCUUUGCCUCUGCUUCCUGAGUGCUGGGAUUGAAGGCCUGAGACCCGGUGAUGCUUUGCAUAUGCUUGGCCCAGGGAGUGGCACUAUUAGAAGGUGUGGCUUUGUUGGAGGAAAUGUGUCACUGUGGGGUGGGCUUGGAGACCCUCUCCUAGCUGCCUGAGGAUGCUCAGUCAGUUCCUGGCUUCCUUUGGGUGAAGAUGUAGAACUCAGCUCCUCCUGCACCAUGCCUGCCUGGACGCUGCCAUGCUCCCGCCUUGAUGAUACUGGACUGAACCUCUGAACCUGUAAGCCAGCCCCAAUUAAAUGUCCUUUAUAAAACUUACAUUGAUCAUGGUGUCUGUACACAGCAAUAAAACCCUAAGACAGACCCCUCCCUCUCAUAGCUUAUUUAUUUAUUUCCUGACUUAUUUUUGAGACAGGGUUCCAUAGGAGCCCAGGCUAGCUAUACUCCCCAUGUAUUCAAGGCUGGCCUUGAUCUCUUGAACUCCUGAUCUUCCUGCCUCUGCCUCCAAGCACCUGUAUUAUAAGUAUUUAUCACCACUUACACAAAUAUUAGUUCCAGACACUUGGAUGGCAGAAACUUUUCAGAUGCUUAGAAAGGUAGGCUGGAGGGACUGGAGUGGUUGGCCUUUUCUAAAUUAUGUGGCUGUUUUAUACAAACUCUGUUGAAAGAGUCCUGGCCGAUCUGAGAUUUAACACACACACACACACACACACACACACACACACACACACACACACACACACACAUUUUAUCUCACCAAGUUCCUAUGCAAAGUGCUGUCCUGGGCCUUCUUGUAGACAGUGUAUUUCCCAGUGUUGACUUCUCACAAUCCAAGCUCACUCCAGCCCACUGCUAAGGGCAGGUUUAAGGCGUCUUUCUGGAACUUAGCUUGUACCUUUUUUCUAAAUUAAAGUCUUUUUGAAUACUUGUAUUGUUAUGCCAUGAAGCGUUCCUGAACCCCAAAAGACCACCAACGAGCCGUUUCCGAUGUAAUCACAUUAGAGUCUCUUUAUUACAAACUCGAGUUUGUGUUUACUCACCACAGGCCCACGGGACGGUUUUUGGUGAGCCAGCCCCAAACUCCCAUGGAGACAAGGUUUUAUAGAAAAUGAAAGAAGUAAGGUGGGGUCUAUCGUGGCAAGCAUCUAACUGAAUGUCUGUUGUCAGCCAACAGGUGGGUGCUCUGAGGCAAGACCGUAAUCACAAACGGUCUGAAAGUACAUCUGAAACGAUCAGACAGAUCUUUGGUUCACUCUUGCUAGGAAGUAGCUAGGGAGUGACUCUGGCCAAGGACAAGCCGUGGGGUCCUUCCUGGUUCUUGGGUGCAGCUUGGGUGCAGUUGCGGGCCAAGUUCUCAGGCUUCUUUUUCUCUUUAGGAUGGAGGCCAGUCCCAAGAUGGAGUAGGUUUGGCCUCUCGGUGUGUGUGUAUGUGUGUAUACCUGUGUGUGUGUGUGUAUGUAUGUAUGUAUGUAUGUAUGUAUGUAUGUAUGUAUGUAUGACUCUGUGUGUAUAUGCAUGCAUGCACAUAUGCUUAUGUGUGUAUGUGUACAUGUAUGUGUAUACAUGUGUGUGUGUAUGUUUGUGGGACUGCAUUCUACCCCAGUGCUGGGCUGUAUGGAAAGGCUACACUGUGUUCCUAGAUUUCGUCUCCCUGUGUUGUCAUUGGGGACUGGGUUAUAGGGAAGUGCUGAGAUGCCAUUCAGGGGAUGGGAAGACACAGCCUCAGAUGCUGAACAGUCGAUAAAUGGUAUGUAUAAACGUGGACUGUCUCUUCCAUCAAAACUGUGUGGGGAGCACAGAGAAGGCCUUCACUUACGAGCCACAGCCUCAGUCUCCCAUAGAAGGCCUCUCGGCACUUCCAGACAACCACUGCUACGAAUGAGCUAAGCCAGAGUUCCCUGUUUCCUGGGAACCCACACAUUCAAUCCCUCCCAGGGAUCCCGCUAAAGUAAGCAUGCCCCUUUCCUAUUUGUGACUCCUUUGCCUGGACCUGGGGCUACUGGACGGGACUGGGUCUUCUCCAGUGUAACUGUCAUUCGCUUUGUCCUCCACCUGUGCUCUGCAGUCCCUGGGAGCUGCCUGCUGCUUUGCUGCAUGGAGAUAUAAGUGUGCACAUACAUGUGCGUGGACAGAGCCCCUCUGUCACCAUCAACUUAGCGUGCUGUCCUGUCCAUGAUGGGCACUUAUCUAUGCUCAGCCAGACCCACUGUUGGUCCACUUUCACCUCCGAACCCAGCGGCGAUGUUACCCACAGGUGACAGGGACCUGUGCAUCUAUUACCAUGUCAAUGGCCAUACAUUCCCAGCAUCCAUUUGGUUUAUGUCCCACCUUUACCUGCGAGUGGUUACAUCACGGUUUAAAUAAAGAGCAGACCCUUCCUGCCUUCCCCCUCCCCCCCGUCUUCUUCCUCUCUCUCUCUCUCUCGCCCUUUUGUCUCCAUAACCCCCAGUAAACCUCUCCCACGUGGAAUUGCAUUGGCCUGGUAUGGUCUGUCUGGACAAGAGCUGAGAUUCUACAACACCCACUCCCCUCAGACCACCACCCUGGCCUUACUCCCAUGGCAAGGUCAGGAAGAAACAAAAGACAGCCCAGUGUGUUCAUUCUGCAGCCUGGAUGCCGACAACCAGCAGCUCCUUAACCCACAGUCCCCUUAGGAAGCAGACCUGCCACCAGUUUUGACUUACAGUGAGGGAACCGAGUAUCGACAGUGGAACUCUCUUAUCUGGUUUUACUCAACUGCUGUGGCUCCACACACAGACUUCCCUCAGACCUGAAGCAAACUCACUUCCUUCACUGCAGGUAGUAAUUCCCACAGCUGCCAACCCAAAUGACAAUCGUAUUACCCUUUGAAAGGAAGGAGCCCCUCACCCCAGGUUGGGAGAACCAUAUUCCUAUCCCGACAUGCACAGGCGUUCAGUAAACAUCCUAAGGCUCUGACUUUUUCUGGGAGUUUCUUUUUCCUGCUGCAGAGAAUCUUCGUGGGUCAUGUAGACUCCAGAGGGCUUGUGAGGCUCAGAAGCUGGCCUUCUCCCUGACCUUAACUUGAUCUGGCACCAGGUGCCUGUGGUCGCCUGUGCUGGAUACACAAGCCAUUCUUUAAGAUGCAUUGAUAACCCGAUCGGGUGAGCAUAAGACCACUGUCACAACUUUUAGCUCAAUUUGAACCAAGUUUUUAUUAAAUACUGGCCGGGACAAUAGACACCAGCCAGGAGGAUGGACACUGGCCAGGUCCGUACCCAGGAGUCCCAGAGAAUAGCCACAAAUUUAAUUGGUCAGGUGCUUAUAAAGGCAAACCCCACAAGGCUACAUACUUCCUGCCUAAGUUACUUCAACACACAUGUGGUCAAGCACAUCCCGUGCUUGGGGGCAAGCGACUUGUUUUCAGAAGUGAAAACAUGGCCUGUUAUCUUCCUCGAGCAACAGCACCCGGCAUUCUAGGAAGUGGUCUGUCCUUGGGCAGUCAGGGCUCGCAGGUCAGGGGUGGUUUCUGUUUUUAGAUCUUUAAGCUUGGUAAUUAAGACUUAAAGCAAAACUUUAGCCCUGGCAGCGCCCUAAUGUGUAGCUCAGAAGGGACUAUGGUUGAAACGUGCAAUUUCCAGUCAUGCCCUACAACCACGCCGCCCUGUUGCAAUCCCUGAAGCUGUUGGAGCUUCAUUAUGCUAACUGUCCCUUCUUAGCUACAGCUGACAGGUUUGCUUAAGGCUUGUUAUAGCCUCAAGGUGGGGAGGGUGGGCCACCACUGCAGCAUUUGUUCCCUCUCCUACACUCUGUUCCCAGAAAAUCAGUUAAUAUCCUUAAGAAGUUUUCCAGAGUGUCAGGUUUCCCCGGAAGACUUGUCCCGAGGGAGGGAGAAUUGGAGUGGGACCCAAAGGGCAGGCAGGGCUGAGCCUAGGUCCUUGCUCUGCCUCAGAAGGGAAUUCUAGUUCCGGUCUCCACACCCCUCCAGGUGUCUGCUUCCCAGCGCUCAGUUUGGAUUCCUCUAGGCAAGAAGUAUGAUCAGCAGCUGUCCAGAGCAGAAGGGUGGGUCUGCUACAUGGGAGGUUCAGGCUGUGUGUGUCCCGGAGUCCCCCACACCCAAACGCACCGCUGCCCAUUUGACUUCCCUUCACUCUGAGCAUUCACAUGAAGCGUUGCCCAGUGGAUAUAAGGUAUAGAUGUAAACACUUCGAGAGGCACAGCUGAGAACCUGAGGCAGGAGGAUUUCUGUGAGUGUGAGGCUAUCCAGGGCUUCAGAAUGAUACCCUGUCCCUAAAUACUAAAAGCUGGAAGAGGAGCUUCCGUGGGGCAGUGAGAAGGCGACAGCCUGUCCUAGCGGUGCAGUGAGUCCCACAUGUUACCCCUGACAGUCUGCCCUCACUAGGGUGCUUUCUGGCUACUCUCUUCCCCAUGGUCCCAUGGAGGUAAGAAUUAGCAGAUGCUGGAGGGGCCUGUCUGAGAUGGAGGGGUGACAGUGGGGAUGACGGCAGCUCUAUAUCCUUGUUGUCUCUGCUCAGAUACAGAAAGGAAUGAGUUUUAUGGGUUUUGUGGUUAUGGAGGGUGGGACAAGAUCUUAAAAAAAUACAAACACAUACACAUACACAUACACACACAAACACACACACACACAUACACACACACACACACACACACAUACACACACCACACGUAUGUAUAUGUUAAGGCUGGAAAAAUGGCUCAGCAGUUCAUAGCUUGCUGCUCUUGCUGAGGACCUGGAUUUGAUUCCCAACACUCACAUGGUUGCUUAUAAGGGUCCCUAUCUCCACCUCCCAUAUAUCUGUCACCCUCUCCUGAUCUCCACGGGCUCUAUGCAAACAUGUACCCUUGCAUACACGCAGAUACAACACAUACACAAAAAUAAAACCAAAUCUUUUUACAUUUAAACAUGACAGUUGGACUGGAGAGAUUGCUCAGUGGUUAAGAGCACCCAACUGCUCUUCCAGAGGUCCUGAGUUCAAUCCCAGCAACCACAUGGUGCUCACAACCAUCUGUAAAGUGAUCCGAUGCUCUCUUCUGUGUAUCUGAAGACAGCUACAGUGUACUUAUAUAUAAUAAAUGAAUAAAUCUUCAAAAGAAAAGAAAAAGAAGAAAAAAGAAAAAAAAGAAAAAUUAAACAUGACAGUUGAAUGCCCCUGUUCUUGAAAGACCCUCAGAUUGAGGAGACUCUCGCUCCAAUCCUGAGGACACCUAUCACCCCACAAACAUGCUGGACUCACAUCUUGAUGCAAAAGCAAGAGGUUUACUUUGGGAUACCAAUGCAUUGGGGGCUCAUCACGGUCCUCACUCAAGAGGGAUGUGAAGAGCCUCGAACAACAGAAAUGUACAGCUUAAAUAGUCACACAGCUUCAUUAGCUCAGCUACUCCGGUGCCAAGGAUAUCUGACUAGGCAGAUGUUUCCCAUCCUGGGGUUCCCAGGACAAGGACCAAGGAUAUCUGACUUGGCAGAUGUUUCCCAUCCUGGAGUUCCCAGGACAAGGCUGCAACCAUAUCAAUGCAGCCACUUCAGUACCAAGGACAUCUGACUUGAUAUAUGUUUUCCAGUCCUGGGGUUCCCAGGACAAGGACCAAGGAUAUCUGACUUGGCAGAUGUUUCUCUCCUGGAGUUCCCAGGACGAGGCUAUAACUAUGUCAGCACAGUUAUGUCGGUACCAAGGACACCUAACUUGACAAAUGGUUUUUAUCCUGCAGCACAAUCUACAGUGGUCGGUCAGCUUCCCAGAGAUGUUUCCUGCCUUGUAAUUGCCCUGCAGUAAAUAUGAUCUAUACCAUCUGUUCUUAUGGUUGGGCAGAGAGUGGGUGGGAAUGUGCUUUCUGUACUUUCUGGUCUAUUGUCUAACAUCUAGGGGCUAAGCAAGGGCCUGCUUAAAAAAUUCUCCUUCUUAAGAAAUGGCUGCACUAAUAUCAAACGGGGAUCUUUCAUUUUUUUUUUUAAAAAAACUACUUUGCACUUCUUUACCUGUGAAUGCAAACCACAAACUCAGGCAGUGUCGUAAAUCACAGCACUUGGAAAAUGGAGGAGGAAGGAGGACUGGCAGUUUAAGGCUACACAGUGGGCUCAGAGAUUGCCUAGGCUACAUAAGACCCUGUCCCAAAAACAAACAACAAUGACAACAAAAAAGCACAGAACUCAAGCCAUAGACUUGGCACCUUAAUUUGAUGGUGCUGGAAAGAGCUCCAGGGGGACCUCAUGCUCCACCAGCUACUCCACUCAGCCUCAUCCCCAGCCCAAAAGCAUACUUAGGGUGAGUUUGGGUUUGCUAGUGUGUGUGUGUGUGUGUGUGUGUGUGUGUGUGUGUGUGUGUAUGUGUGUGUGUGUGUAUGUGUACGUGCAUGUGUACUGUGCCUUUGUGAGGGCUAAAGGUCACUUAAUAGAUUGGUAAAACAAAAACACCUCUAACAGGCAAGCCCCGCUUGCCCAAGAACAGACUACUUCCUAGAAUGCUGGGGGUUGUGGUUCGCUAAGAUAACAGCCAUAUAUUUUCACUUCUGUAAACAAGGCUGGUUGCUUGCACUGCUCAGAUUGUACUUGAUCACAGGUAGGUUAUUGUUGCUUAGGCAGGAAGUACGUCAGGAUAUAUGCCUGCCCCCAAUUGGACCAAGGCGGGAAGUAUGUAGCGCUGAGGGUUUUGUCUUUAUCAGCACCUGACUAAUGUGACUUGUGGCCAUUCUCUGGGAGUCCUGGUUAUGGAUCUGACUAAUAUCCAUUGGUCUGGCCAAUAUUUAAUAAAGCUUGCUUCAAAUUUGGCUAAAACAUGUAUGAUUAAGACCUGCUCGAAGAUAAGAAUCAUCACCUCGGAAGAGUUCCCUGUGCUACCACUUCCCAGUCAGGCUUAGUUCCUCCCAGGUACAACUAAUGCUCCAUAUUUUACACAGCAGGACCCAUAAGAGCCCAGAGGCAGCUAGAUGGUUCCGUAGGUAAAUGUAGAAAGUGUUUAAAUCAGGCCUGGGGUUUCCACUCUGCCUUAGACUCUAUAAGUUCCCAGAUGAAAGACACACACGGCCUUUAUAUUUACAAUAGGCCUUAAAACAGCGCAAUUACUGGGCAGCUGCCUACUCUCCAUGCUGUUAGAGUCUACUUUCCUAUUGAUAACCUUGAGUUGUUACAAUGUUUCAACUGGGCUGCUCUUAAAUCCAACUAAACUGCCCUAAUACCGUAUUCUCUUAACUCCUAACCCACAGCGGCUUUUCCUCCUUCCUCCUGCCUUCUUCUUAUAUUUAUUUAUUUAUAUUUGUACUUUAUUGUAUGUGCAUUGGUGUUUUGCCUGCACAUAUAUCUGUGUGAGGGUGUUGGAGCUCCUGAACUAGAGUUACAGACAGUUGUGAGCUGCCAUGUGUGUGCUGGGACUUGAAUCCGGGGGUCCUCUGGCAUAGCAGCCAAUACUGCUAACCACUGAGCCAUCUCUCCAGGCCCUCUCCUGCCUCCCCCUCCUCUCCCUGCUCCUCAUCCUCCUCUUUCUUCUCCUCCUCUUCUUCCUCCUCCUCUCCCUCCUCAUCUUUCCUCUAACCCCAAGCCCUCAAAUCCUAAACCCCAUCUAUGUCUCUUCUGCCCAGCUAUUGGCUGUUGGCAUCUUUACCAUUCAGAAAUAACUUGGGGUCAGGAUCAGUCAGCAUCAUACCCGAAUGUGUGAACUCUUCUCUCUGGGCCAUGGGGGCUCAGUAUUAACAUUAAAAUACAAAUAGCAUUAGGCUGACCACUACAGGUAAUGAUGCUUGCUGCUCAGGCUGAUUAACUGGGGACCUGGGACCGUCAAGAUGGAAACAAAGAACUGACUCCCACUCACUGCCCUGUGCCUACACAUGCCUGCUGUGGCUUGCAUGUUCCCCUCCCCCACCACACACAAAAUAAACAAAUGUGAGAACUGUUUAUUUCCUUCUUUUUUUUUUUUUUUUCGGACCUGGGGACCGAACCCAGGGCCUUGCACUUGCUAGGCAAGCGCUCUACCACUGAGCUAAAUCCCCAACCCCUGAGAACUUUUUAAAGAAUUCAGAAAUGUAAGAGUAUCUGAAUACUCUUGAUAUAAAAGACCGUAGCUGACAAACUCUGAAAGUAAAUCGUGUUUUAUUAAAUAGUAAACCUUUCUGCUUCUUAGGUUGAAAAUCUGGAUUGAGAGAAGUUUCACAGAAUAAACUUGCACAUCCCUUAAGUAUGAAGGCUCUCAAAUACUGUAUUGAGAAAGCUCAAUGUUAGUUCCUUUACUUGACAAAAAAAGAAAAGAAGAGAAAGGAAGAAAGAAAGAAAGAAAGAAAGAAAGAAAGAAAGAAAGAAAGGAAGGAAGGAAGGAAGGAAGGAAGGAAGAAAAAGAAAUCUUGGAGAACUGCUGAGCUCAGUAUAGCUGAAGGAUCCCUGUUUGAUAUUAGUGCAGCCAUUUCUUAAGAACGAAAACCUUUUAAGCUGGCCCUUGCUUAGCCCCUAGAUGUAAGACAAUAGACCAGAAAGUACAGAAAGCCCAUUCCCACCCACUCUCUAGGAAGCUGCCCAACCAUUAGAACAGAUGGUAUAGAUCAUAUUUACUGCAGGGCAAUUAAAAGGCAGGAAACAUCUCCGGGAAACUGACUGACCACUAUAGAUUGUGCCCCAGGAUGAGAAAACCAAUAUCAAGUUAGAUGUCCUUAGUACUGACAUAGCUGUGCUGACAUAGUUAUAGCCUCGUCCUGGGAACUCCAGGAGAGAAACAUCUGCCAAGUCAGAUAUCCUUGGUCUUUGUCCUGGGAACCCCAGGAUGAGAAAACAUAUAUCAAGUCAGAUGUCCUUGGUACUGAAAUAGCUGCAUUGAUAUGGUUACGGCCUUGUCCCAGGAAUUCCAGGACAAGAAACAUCUGCCUAGUUAUCCUUGGCACCAAAAUAGCUGAGCUAAUGAAACUGUGUUUUCUGUUGUUCGAGGCUCUUCACAUCCCUCCUGCGUGAGGACCGUGUGGAACCCCAAUGCAUUGGUAUCCCAAAGUAAACCUCUUGUUUUUACAUCAAGACUGAGUCCCAUGUGUUUGUGGGGUGGUGGGUGUCCUCAGGACUGGAGCGAGAGUCUCCUCUGUCUGAGGGUCUUUCAUUUGGGGGCUCGCCUGGGAUUUACAAACACCCAUCAACACCGAGAUUGCUCUUGGAGGUAAGGUGGCGCCUUUAACUGUUCUGUCUUUUUGUUUAUGUGUCCUAGUUCUCUAAUUACCUGUCACUCAUGGGAGUGUUUGGCCUGGUUCUGUAAGCUGCAUUCUGUAGUAGCUGUUUGAGCACUUGUGAGAGCUCUCAGGCUGCACUCUGUAGCAGCCAUUUGAGCACUCGUGAGAGCACCCAGGCUACAUUCUGUAACAGCAGCUGUUCUGUUUUUCUGUCUGUGCAUCCAGACUCAGUAAGGAAGGAAGUUCUGCAGCAGCUGUUCAGGUGCUCGUAAGAGCGUUUGGACUGAGAUCGGUAACCUGGGGAACGCCCCAGGGUCUGGGGAGGACCAGGGAUGCCUGGUAGCCUCCAGAGUAUGGUUUGUUGGGUGUGAACCUGAUCAGUUGUUUCUGUUACCUGCUGCUUCCUUCGGGCAUCUGCCUUCUAGGAUUUUUUCUCUGUCGCAUUUGUUAAGAAGUAGGAACACCCAGUGUCUUAUGGAUCUUUGUGUCUCUUAUCUGUUUGUACUUGUCCUUGUCCUUGUGUAUUUUGGAACAAUGGGUCAGAAGGUUACUCCCCCAACCCAGUCUCGCCCUAGACCACUGGGGAGAGGUGAGGGCGAGACUAUACAACCUGUUGGUGGAGGUCAAAAAGGGACCAAGGCAGACCAUCUGUGCUUCUGAGUGGCCAACUUUUCAGGUCGAUUGCCCCCCCCCAGGGAUCUUUUAAUAUGGAAAUUAUAAAGACUGUUAAGAAAGUUGUUUUUCAGUCCGGCCACACUGACAUCUUGAUCAGCAGCCCUACAUCCUAGUCUGGGAGGAUUUAACUCAAACACCACCUCCUUGAGUAAAAUCGUGGGCUAGUUGACCCCAAUGACUGCCAGACUCACAGAUUCUGGCAGUCCAAACUUCCAAGGGGGAGCCCUCCCGACCGGCUCCUCCAAAAGUCUAUCCUUAUGCUCAGGAGGAUUUGCUCCUCCUGGAUUCUCCUCCUUAUUCCCCUACCCUCUUGCCUACCCAACUUCCUGAAUCCUCUGCUCCUCCUGGCUGCAGAUGCUUCUGGUCCUGCUCAGGGGACACAGCCAGUGAGCACUCACCCCUGACUCCUCUACUGGCCUGAUUCCUGUUAUUCCCUUGCAGGCUGAUGGACCUCCCCCAGGUCCAGGCGAGGGGAUGCAGCCCCUUCAGUACUGGCCUUUUUCUUCCGCUGAUCUUUGUAACUGGAAACUUAAUCACCCCCCUUUUUAGAGGAAGGGGGACAGGCACAGGCCUGCUAGCAAGGAAGCUGCAGGCUAUGCAUGGGCAGUAGCCUGAGCCAGCGGGAGAGGAGUUUCAAGGAAAAGUGGCCGCUGGCCGUGGCUGAUGCUUUGACAGCAAAAAUAUAGCACAGAGUUAGUGAUUGUAUUAAAGUCUAUCAUGAGUCCUUUGGCCCUGAAAAACAAUUCCAGUCACUGCCACUAUCUCACCUCCAAGUGGAUUUUCAGAGACAAGUGUGGUCGCCAAUCCCGGAUGAGCCCCCAAAUGAAAGAUCCUCAGAGCAGGGAAACCCUCACUCAAAUCUUGGGAUGAUGUAAUCCCCCAAGAACUCACAUAACACCAUCCUUGCUGUAAUCACAUGAGGUUUAUCGAUAGGAACCAGUGCACUGGGGUCCAGACUUGUAUCCCACACAGGGGCAGGGGAGUUUGACCUUGAGUGGCUGAGAGGAAUAUUUAAAGGAAGAAGCCACAACCCAAGGGGGCAGGGAUGGCGUCAUUGGAAAGUGUGGAGAAUACCAGUGAAAAAUCACAAGGAGAAGCUUCCUGUCUCUCAAGAUUGCUUUUAAGACUAUAAUCUAACUUUAUCUAACUAGACUAUCAUCUCACUUUUUCUGGGAGAAGCUAUCUGUUAUCUUUAUUAGUUUGGGAUCACGUAUUUAAGGGCCUUAUCUUUAAGCCCCUUUAUCUUGUUCGUGGGAGAGCAGGCUCAAGAAAUGUGACCUUUUACCUACUUACAGGUAGAGAGCAGGGUCUAGAAUUUGAGAUAUUUAGGGCUUCUUAGGGGUGAGAUAGCAUUUCUAAGCAUCUGACUUCUUGGCUGCAUUUUGUAUUCUUUCAUUCUCUACUUCUUCUAGUGGCUAGCUCUAAUCAUAGAACUAGAUUUUAGUAUAUACCUGAAUGGUCUUUAUAAAAACUACACUUUUCUCUGAGAACAGCACAUACUCUUCCGUCUUUUAAGAAGAAAACAACCCCAGAAUGGUCUAGGUAGAAACAACACUUUUUUUGUAGUGUAGAACACAGACUUCCUUCUUUAAGGAAUAUCAGGUCUAACCUUUUUUUAUUUUGAAGGACUACCUCUGAGAGGGAGGUCAGGGAUUCUUGGAGGUCAGUUAAAAAGUCUUUAGCAUCAGGAUUCUAAUCUGGACACCAUCUGAACCUACACACAAAAGGUCAUGAUUGCCUUUUAGAACUUUUAAACUGUGUCACAGGUUGUGAUCCCUGAGACACAGUCCCAAGAAGUGUUAGGAGUACUAACGUAGGUAAUGCCUUCAUAGUAAGGGGAUGUUACAUCAUUUAUAAUAGAAAUCAAGACUACUCCCACACCUGUGAUUGGGGGAACCUAUCUCAACAGAGCCCAGGGCAAACAUGAAAUUCUUGUUUCUAAAGCACACUCCUCAACUGAGCAUUAUAGUAACCCCACCAGUCAUGUCUCUGACGUGCAGGUCCAGGGAGCUUUUUGAAGAUCUGAGUGUCCCUCUAGGUCCCAGCUCUCAGCCCCAACAGCUAGUAAUCAGCUUGUGAGGGCUGAGACUUGACGGAUGUCAGGGUGGUCAGCAGCACCAGGUACUGUCCUUUCCAGUGAGGCUCGAGUGUCUGGGCCUGAUUGUCAAUGACAGUGCAGGGUAUACCUGGAAGAGAAUGGGGGACAAGAGCCACGAAGAAGGACGCCAAGACAAGAGUCUGAUCAGGGCGACAAUUUUAUUUUUUCCCAAGGCUGAAUUUAUACCAUAACAUGGGUAACAGACGGAGGGGGAAGUGUGAAACAUUUACGCAGGCCAAGGACACAAUAUUCGUGUGGUCAGGGAAUCGACUGAUGUUGACAGGAUGUCAGAAAGGUCACAGGUUUGUCAUAUCUAUUAGUCAGCAGGAUGUUGGGUUUUCAGAAAGGUUACAGGUCAUCACAUUGGGUAUCUAGACAUCAGAUGUAUUUCUCAGCAAGAGAACUUUAUCAUAUUAUUAUUUAUCUUGACCACCAGAUUUGCAUUAGUCUUCUGCAUCUGGCUGGGAAUUUUCCAUGAACCCAGUCAUACUUAACGCUAACCAUAAUAAUAGCAUCAAUAAUGAAGGGCUUCAAGGGCAUCGCUCCCAGCACCUGAUAUUGUCAUACGUGGACAGAGUCUCUGACCUGGAACUGGUGAGAUGUCUCAGGGGUCCCCAGGACAUGGGCUGUUGCCAGCUGUGACCAGAUUUUUUUCUGUAUCACCUGUAGGUCCUUUAGCCUGGCAUACAAAUCAUUAUUACAAUGAUAUGUUGGUUCAAUAACAUCAUCUUACACAGUCAGAGGAGACAAGGCCCCAUAUAAGAUCUCAAAGUGGGUAAGACUGAAUCUGGAAGGGAUAUUUCUUGCUCUGAAGAGAGCAAGAGGGAAGGAGUGCAACCCAGUCUGUGCCAGUCUCCAUGGUCAAUUUGAUCAGGGUCAAGAGUUUUAUUUAUUUACUCUACCAGUCCUGAACUUUGAGGUCUGUAAUGUAAUCUAAUUUCCAAUUGACCUCUAAAUACCUGGCCACACCCUGGCUUACCUUGGCAACAAAAGCAGGGCUUUCCCGUCUGACCCGAUUACCUUGGGCACUCCAAAUCGGGGGAAGAUUAUUUUCCAGUAUCUUCUUGAUGACUACUGAGGCCACCCCUUGAUUGGUGAGGAAAACUUCUAUCUAUUCCUGAAAAGAUAUCUACAAGCACUAGGAGAUACUUGUAACCAUAUUUUCUCAGUGAAGUUUACUUUGACUUCUCACUAAUCUUUUUAGGUCUUUUUGCCCUGUUUGUUUCUUAAGCAUUUACUUGCUGACAUACCUUAUAUUUUUCUACUGGCUCUAAUAUAUAUAUCUUAACUAUUUGGAUAAGCUUUUAUCCCCUAAAUGAGUCCAUUUGUGUAUUUGGAAAGCGAGACUUUUGUUUGUUCUCUGGGGAGUAUAGCUUUUCCCUCAAGUGUGCCAUUGUCCUUUCUCUUUUAAGAAAUUUGGGCCUUUUCUUCUGUUGUACACUCUAAGUGAGGCCAUCCCUUAGUCCAAUCCCAGUUCCCAGUAGCUGUCUCUUGCAGGCCUUUAACCAGUAUAGGUUCCUGCAUAGCCAUUUUUCGAGCCACUUGAUCUGCUUUGUUAUUGCCCCAUGUCACUGAAUCUCUUCCCUCCUGAUGUCCUGGGCAAUGAAUAACGCUCACAGUUGCUGGCUUCAUCAGGGCAUCCAAGAGAUGGCAAAGGCAUCUGUGGCGCUGAUGUGCUGGGGGGUAGAGGUUUGUCUAUCCCAGAUGAUAUUUGUGUUGUCCACCAUGGCAGUCCCCACUCAUCUCUGACCUUCAUGAAGAGAACUGUUCUCGUCUGUAGUCAAGGUAGCCUUGGCUUUCCGUAGGAGUUGAUCGGUCAGUCGUAGAGGUCUUCUCUCCAUCCAUGGGCUUCUGUCAGUGUUUGACACUCAUGCUGUGGUGGCUCCAGGUCAGGAUUGGGCAGCAAGGUGACCAGAUUGCCCCCCAACCAGUGGAGAAUCUAGUCCAUGUCAGCUGACCUGUGGUCCCAUCCUCUGGGACAUUCCAGUCAAAGGCAAAACAUCAGCCUCUCUACCACAGUUUAAGUCCUGGAUUGGGUGAUAAUUGUUAGUGCCCGGCUGCCAGGAGCGGUGUGUUCCAGGCAGAAUGGCACUAAGCCACACAUCUCUCAGCAUAGGGUAUUGGUGCACUGAGACAGGUCUUAAGCGCCACAUACACAGUCUGUAGAUAUGCAUACACAUGGCCUUACCCAGCCACUUCAGCCCACGCAAGCCAUUUUGGAGAGCAAAUUUCUCAUGAGCAAGGGAUAGGGGCAGUCAGGGAUGACCAUGAACUAGUGGGUUACCUGGCCCACACCAAGGUCCACUGUUCUUUGGGUAGUCCAUAAGUAUCGUUUGUUGCCAGUAGCCCCUGUACCCAAGGUCUUUGAUGGACACUGGCCCACUGGGGCAUAGGAGCACAGAGUGUUGGGUCCUUUUAUCCACAAAACACCAAUUGGACUUCCCCUCUGUCCUGGGGCAGUCCCCGACACAGUGACUUUUUUUUUUUAACAAUAGGCACACUGAUCUUUAGCCAGGAAUUCUCUUCUGUUGUCAGGUACUCUCUCCCUAGUCUCCCUAACUAUUGUGGCCAGUAUUCAUUUUUUAUACUGUCUUUUAUCUCUCCUUAGCUCUUUAGCUUCUUUUUCUUUCUGUCCCCUUUCUUCCCUAGCUUUCUGUUCUUUUUGCCUUCUUUCUUUUUUACCCUGAACCGCACUUUAACCUUACUUUCUCUGCAACUUACACUAACUUCCUCAGUGAUUUAGCUUAACCUUUCAAGUUUCUGCAACUUUCUCUUUAUAUCUUUUUCUUACUUUAGCCAAAUUGGUGGGGUGUUUUUUAGCCCCUCAGAGACCCACCAUUGGAGCCUGGUGAAAGACUUGUAGCAUUCCCUACCUUCAGGUGUUUUGGAUCAACAGGCAGGAGUGAGGGCCUUCCAUCCAUGUCUGGAACAUUCUUUUUGGUCUCCUAGUAGGAUUCUGUAUUUCCUCAGUGGUAAAGAGGAUCUGUAACAGCUACUAACAAGCAUCUCAAGUGGGAUGGUGAGAAAACAAGAAGAGAGUCCAGAAAAUAGAGGUCUGCCAAAGAGGACAAAUGGCAUUCAGUCACACAGAAAGACAAUCAAAAUAUUAACAGACAAAAAAAAAAAAAAAACAGAAGUGGGCACAAAAACAAAAAACAAGUGGCCACUGUGAGAUCACCACAAAAUUGAACUGAUUCAGGUGGGAGUAUCUGUGAGCUCACCAAAGACAGAUGAAGAGGAGCAGAUUCCUCAUCAUUCCUCUUUCCCAACGGGACAGAUGAAGGGGAGCAGAUCGAAAAUUAUGGUUAAGUCAAAGGUGCCCUCUGGAGGCCAGCCGACAUCAAACACUGGCCACUCCGAGGAGCAAAAAGUCAGCCAAAGUCCUUUUUUAAUCUUAACUGACAAAUUGUGUGCUAUAGUCCUAACUUUAGUCCAGUGUUCUAAAGUCAAACUCAGAAGAGUCCCAUCGUCAAAGUCACAAGUAACACAAAACAAAGACCUAAGACACACAGACAAAGAUCACUCUGGAAAUACAGAUGGCCAGGAGGCCGGGUCUCUUCUCCAAUCCAGGAGAAUCACCGAAUCCUCACCAGCACCCAGACGGGAAUCUCCCAGGUGUCCCCCUAGGGUCCCUCCUCACCACCUGAGAUGUCUCCCAGGGCAGCGCUGUCAGUGAGCCCCUGGCACGUCUACCAAUACUCACAUUCUCUAGUCUCCUCCCAAGACGAGAGUCUCCAUCUGUACCGGAGAUGGAACAACUGUAAAAACAGUACUUGAGAGUAACUUCAGACCCAGAGUUCAGUCGGCACAGAUUCACAAAGACACAACACAAAGACACAGACCCUAUCUCAACUCCAAGUGGAUUUUCAGAGACAAGUGUGGUCGCCAAUCCCGGAUGAGCCCCCAAAUGAAAGAUCCUCAGAGCAGGGAGACCCUCACUCAAGUCUUGGGAUGAUGCGAUCCCCCAAGAACUCACAUAACACCAUCCUUGCUGUAAUCACAUGAGGUUUAUCGAUAGGAACCAGUGCACUGGGGUCCAGACUUGUAUCCCACACAGGGGCAGAGGAGUUUGACCUUGAGUGGCUGAGAGGAAUAUUUAAAGGAAGAAGCCACAACCCAAGGGGGCAGGGAUGGCGUCAUUGGAAAGUGUCGAGAAUACCAGUGAAAAAUCACAAGGAGAAGCUUCCUGUCUCUCAAGAUUGCUUUUAAGACUAUAAUCUAACUUUAUGGUCAGCUAGUUUCUGGGAGAAGCUAUCUGUUAUCUUUAUGAGUUCGGGAUCACGUAUUUAAGGGUCUUAUCUUUAAGCCCUUUUAUCAAGUUCGUGGGAGAGCAGGCUCAAGAAAUGUGACCUUUUACCUACUUACAGGUAGAGAGCAGGGUCUGGAAUUUGAGAUAUUUAGGGCUUCUUCGGGGUGAGAUAGCAUUUCUAAACAUCUUACUUCUUGGCUGCACUUUUUAUUCUUUCACUCUUGCAGAGCACCCAUAAAGCCUUGAGUUUGAUCCCAGCCCGUCUCCCACCACACAGGACAUAAUAUCUAGAUGAGAUCAAAUCAUUUGUUUGUUUGAGAUACCGUCUCCUGAGGCACAGGAUGACCUCCAGAGUUUGCUAUAAAAGAUGGCCUUAAACUUUUUUUUUUUUUGAGACAAGGUCCCUUAUAACCCAGAUUGGUCUCAAACUGGAAAUAUAACUGAUGACCUUGGACUCCUGAUUCUCCUCUCUCUACCCCUCAAAUGCUGGGCUUAUGUGUCUAAUACCCAGCUUCAAAAUAGUUGUUUAUGAAAAAGAACAAGUGUGUAUCCUUCACACCACAAUGGUUUCUUGACUCACUAUACAAGUAAUCAAGUGUGUACCUUGUGUGACACAAGUGCAAUCAGGCAGCAGGAUAGCUGAUCAUGGAGCAGGAUGGCCGAGCACACAGCCGAACAGGACAUUACCAGGGAAUACUCCUGCGACCAAUGCCCAACAAGGCAGCAAUGUGGAAACAGAAAAAAAUACUAGUAGCUUAGACCAGUCUUGAACUCACUACAUAGCCCAGGUUGGGCUCUCACUUGUGAUUCUCCUGCUUCAGCUUCCAGAGUGCUAGGAUUAUAGACAUGAGCUAUCAUACCUAGCAAAUUCUAAAAAACAUCGGUAUUGGGGGUGAGGAGGGGAGAUAGAAAAAGGAACAAAGCAUGUAUAGUGGCCUCCAUAUAUUAAAACCAAAAUAAAAACAUAGAUGUGAUUUCUAGAUUCCUAUAUAAACUAAAACUCUAAAGCUUUUAGAAAAGGAUUGUAAGAGGCUCCGUGUCUCCCAGGCACAGCCUUCUUAGUAUCCCAUGAUACCAAGCAUUCACAGAAAAGACUUCCUCAAAAUUCAAAGCUUUGGACUGUGAAUGUAGCUUAUCCAGCAUAUAAGGGGGUGCUGGUAUACUUCCAGUACAUAAAAAGUUUAAAAAAAAACUGUGUGUUUUUAUUUUCUAAAACAGCUAAAAACAGAGGAUGUCCAUGCUUAGUAUCACCAGGACCAGGUAACAACUGAUCGUUAACUGAGACCAUGCACUGCUCACCCACUGGGGAACUGACUCUGUAGUUUCUCAUCGACAAACCUCCUAUGGCCUAGAAAUUCUCUCCCUAGGUAUUACUCAAAGUAAUACCAGCUUACAUGAUCGCUCACUUGACAGAGUACUUGCUUAGGGAGCACGAAGUCCUGGGUUUUGAUUGCCUAAAUUACAUAAAACCCUCAGCACUCAUCCGGCAGAGACAUGAGGAUCAGGAGUUCAAAGUUAUCCUUAGUUUAUUGAGAGUUCAAGGCCAGUCUGGACUAUAGGAGGAUCUGGUUCAAAACAAAACAAAAACAACAACAAAAACCCUAGGUCCACACAGGAUAUAUACAAGAAACAGAAAUUUGUGAGGUACAUAGUUUUAAUCACAAGCUCACCGAGGCAGAGGCGGGUGGACCUCUGUGAGUUCAAAUUCUAGUCAUCUACAGAGAGAGUUGUAGGAUCAUCGGCGAUACAGAGUGAAACCCUGUCCUAAAAGAACAAAGGAGGAGGAAGAGGAGGACGAGGAGUGCCCCUGCCUUCGGGGGUUCAGAGUGGACCUGGGAGUGGUGAAAGAAUGGGGAACAGGAGGAGCAAAGAAGGAGAGCAAGUCUGGGUUCUGAUCAAGCUCUCAAAGUUUAUUUCAAAAAAACCCAGUGACUUAUAAAGACAAGAAGGUGGGAAGGUUACUCAGGAGAAUCCAUCACUGCCACCACCCUUCCUAUAGCCCUAAACCAUAAAUUGCAGUUAUAGACUGAUAAGAACAGACAACCGGCUAACUGUCCCAAGGCUGGAGACUGUAACUAACUUAAUUUUCCUGAGAAGAUAGGAAUAUACUGAGCAGAGCAUUCCUGAGAAGAAUCACUAAGCCUGAGCGUGCUUGGUUCCAGGCAGGGAGGAAGGCAGGCAAGAAGGCAGGCAGGCAGGAAGGGAAGGAACAAAAUGAGGAGGGACUUGUAGUUACUAGACCAGGGUUCCGAGGUUAGCCCAAAGCAUAUAGUAAAUGGUAUUUCAGGGUUGUUCAUUUUUUUGAGACAAGGCAUUAUGUAAGUCAGGCUGGUUUCAAACCUUUAGUCCUCCUGCCUCAGCCUUCCAAGUACUGGGAUUAUAGGUGUGCAUCACCAAACCUGGCUGCAAUAAGGUUUUAAUCAAAGAUUGAUUUAAAGAAAACUAAUAUUAUUCUGGUGGUGUUUAGAGAGGGAGAAAUUGAGGAAUAUGAUACAUGACUGUCAAGCCGCUGGAGCUACGAGGGCUUAGAACACAAGUCAUAGUGGUGCAAUUGCCUAGCAAGCACAUAUGAGGCCCUGAGUUCGAUUCCCAGCAACACAUACAUACACACAAGAACAUACAUGAAGACCACACACACACACACAGACACAGACACACACACACACACACGCACAUACCACCACCGCUGCCACAGCCACUGCCUCCACCGUCGCCAUCAUCACCAUCACCACCACCGCCGCCGCCGCCAUCUGUGUAUUUAGCAUGAAGGAUGGAACCCAGGGCUUCAUACAUGACGGGCAAGCACUCUACUCACUGACCUCUGACCCCAGCUGUAAAACACCUGCAAACUGUUCACUCCCGUGAACCGGGCGGGCACGCUCCCCAGUGGGGAAAAGUUUCCUGAGCCUCUUCUUCCCAAGCAAGGAGACUCUCAUCUCUGCUGGGAGGAACAAUAGCAGAUGGCAGAUGCCAGGGUGUGUACACCGAGGUCAUGCCCACCCUGCUUGAAGUCCUCACCUAACAGCUCCCUUCAUGUCACCAGCCUAUACUGCUAAUGGUCUUCUGUUUGUCCUUCUGUCCUGUCCCUCCUUCCUUUUACCCAGUUUCAUGGGACAGAGUCCCCCCCCCCCCACACCCCGUGUGCUGUGUAGUUGUCCCCAGGAAAGGAGCCAUUGUUGAUUGGAUGCCAGGUUGCAUUCUGAGGAGCUCUUGGCACAGGAAAAAAAAUUCAUUUGAAAAUUUCACAUUUCGAUUGAAGUUCCAAGCAUCCCCAUAGUGUUCAGUAAUUGACAAAGCUAAGAAUCAGAGAACCCCCAGGCAGCUGUUGAGUGGACGAACCAGAAGAUAAAUGGAACAGCCUGAUGCAUCAGUCCAUGGAUGCCCUCCCUGGCCAUCACCACCUCGUAGCUACAGAGAUGUCUAGAGGUUGUCCCACUGUUCCUCCAGAGCUCAUUAAUCUGCUGUUGGCUGCGUUAUCUUGACUGUGCAAAUUUGCCUUGCAAACCAGACACACAUGGGGAACUCAGCUUCUGUGUGCCCCCAUAUCCCAAUAAGAGAUCUUGUCACAAAAAACAAAAUGGAUGUCUCAUAAGAAAGAACACCUGAGGGGUUGGGGAUUUAGCUCAGUGGUAGAGCGCUUGCCUAGGAAGCGCAAGGCCCUGGGUUCGGUCCCCAGCUCCGAAAAAAAGAACCAAAAAAAAAAAAAAAGAAAAAAGAAAGAACACCUGAGGUUGACUUCCGCAUGCUCACACAUGUAUACCUGAACACACAUGAAAAUGCACAUAUACUCACAUAUAACAUAGAGAAAAAACCAUUCAAGGGAAGUAACCAGACGUAGUGGCACAUAGCUAAGGUCUCAGCAUCUGGUUCCUACGUCAAACCACCCUUGCUUUCCAGGGACAAAUACUAUCUGGGAUUGGCAAGCCAUCUUUUAAUAUGCUAAACUUAGUUGACAUCUUGUUGAGGAUUCAUCAUCAUCAUCGUUGCCAUCAUCACCACCACCACCACCAUCACCAUCACCACCACCACCACCAACACCACCAUCACCACCACCACCACCACCACUACCACCACCACCACAACCAACACCACCAUCACCACCACCACCACCACCACUACCACCACCACCUCCAACAACACCAACAACAACACCAACAACAAAAACACCAUCACCACCACAACUACCUCCACCACCACCACCACCACCAACACCACCAUCACCACCACCACUACCACUGUCAUGUGGGUGUUGAGAGUUGGAAGAGCAGCCUCUGCUCUUGAGACACCCUCCAGCCUCUCUGUGCAAGUGUAUGGUUCCACAGAGGCCAGAAAAGGACGGCAGGUGUCCCCCCCAGCCCUCUGUACCUAUUCCUCUGAGUCGAGGUCUCUUGAACACAGGGCACAUGUUUUCUCAGCUAGACUAAAAGCCAAUAAGCUCCAGUCACCGAUCAACUUUCCCUCGGACUGAGGCUAUAAGAUUUGUGUGACUCUUGGCAUGUUACGUGGGCACUGGAAUCCAAUCUGUGGUUCUUCAUGGCUGCACAGGAAGAGCUCUUGGUGGCUGAGCCACCUUCUCAGCCUCAGCACCAUCUUUUUAUGUCAAGUAACUGAGCAGUAAGAUCUCGGGCUGCUUCUGCUCCUUCUCCUCCUCCUCUCCCCCCCUCCUCCUCCUCCUUUUGAUUUAUUUAUUCAUUUAUUUCAUGUAUAUGAGUACACACUGUAGCCGUCUGCAGACACACCCAGAAAGGGCAUCAGAUCCCAUUACAGAUGGCUGUGAGCCACCAUGUGGUUGCUCGGAACUGAACUCAUGACCUCUGGAAGAGCUAUCAGUGCUCUUAACUGCUGAGCCAUCUCUCCAGCCCAAUCUCUGGCUUCUGAUAAGGAAUUAGGGUCAGAUGUAAGCCAUCAUCUGGGUAUCCCACAAUUGCUCCACCUCUUUACCUGCCUUCCUAGCUGAACAGCUGGAGUCCUACUUCACAGCAUUGUUGGGAGCGUUACAGUAAGGAGAGAUGUUCAGAGUAGAAGCCGUACAAAUGGUUCCUUUUCUCUUGUAUGCUCUGCUUCUGCCAACCUCCAAAGCAGCUCUCUGUACCUGUGAAUUAGCAAUGGAGAGGCUUCCAGGAUCAGAGACCAAUUCUGCUCUGCCUCCUUCAGAUGAAAGGCACCUUAGCUCAUAGGAGACCAAAUGGGUCUUCCUUACAAACUUUGUCACUCCUGGGGUCAUCACUGUCUUCCUGGGCCACAGACCUUUCUCCUCGUGUUUAGAGAUACUUUAAAAGACAACUGUGCAUAUGUGCACACAUAUGAAUGUAGGUGCCUAUAGAGGCCAGCUGGGAUUACCAACAUGGGCGCUGUGGUGGUUUGAAUAUGCUUGGCCCAGAGAAUGGCACUCUUAGGAGGUGUGGCCUUGUUGGAACUGUGUAACUUGAUGAUAAUGGAUUGAACCUCUGAACCUGUAAGCCAGCCUCAAAUCAAUAUUGUCUCUUAUAAGAGUUGCCUUGGUCACAGUGUUUCUUCAAAGCAAUGAAACCCUAAGACAGGCACUGAGAACUGAACUCUGGUCCUCUGCAAAAGCAGGAAAUGCUCUUAACCACUGAGCCAUCUUUCCAGCCUCGAGAGACACUGAAGUGGUAUGCACUGCCUGCCAUGGCCAACAUGCUCCUGGAGGUGUGUGGCCUCGAGUUCCCAACCUACCUCUUCAAUGAUUGGUAGUACAUGGGCACCGAGAAUGGAGUCCUGGACUUCUGUGACACACAGCGCUACAAUAUCCUGGAGGUGACAUGGAGUUACCAAGCUGGAGAGUCGGGGAGGGGCACCCCCUCCAAAACCUGCCUCACCUCAUCUUCUACAGGAAGUGGGCAGGAGGAUGGGCCUGGAGACCCACACACUGGCCUCCCUCUGGAAAGACCGGGCUGUCACCGAGAUCAAUGCAGCUGUGCUCCAUAGUUUCCAGAAGCAGAAUGUGACCAUCAUGGACCACCACACAGCCUCAGAGUCCUUCAUGAAGCACAUGCAGAAUGAGUACCGGGCCCGAGGAGGCUGCCCUGCAGACUGGAUUUGGCUGGUCCCUCCGGUGUCCGGGAGCAUCACCCCUGUGUUCCACCAGGAGAUGUUGAACUACGUCCUAUCUCUAUUCUACUAUUACCAGAUCGAGCCCUGGAAGACCCACAUCUGGCAGGAUGAGAAGCUGAGGCCCAGGAGGAGAGAGAUCCGGUUCACAGUCUUGGUGAAAGUGGUGUUCUUUGCUUCUGUGCUAAUGCGGAAGGUCAUGGCUUCCCCCGUCAGAGCCACAGUCCUCUUUGCUACUGAGACAGGAAAGUCGGAAGCGCUAGCCAGGGACCUGGCUGCCUUGUUCAGCUACGCCUUCAACACCAAGGUUGUCUGCAUGGAACAGUAUAAGGCAAACACCUUGGAAGAGGAACAACUACUGCUGGUGGUGACAAGCACAUUUGACAAUGGAGACUGCCCCAGCAAUGGGCAGACUAUGAAGAAAUCUCUGUUCAUGAUGAAAGAACUCGGGCACACCUUCAGGUAUGCGGUAUUUGGCCUGGGCUCCAGCAUGUACCCUCAGUUCUGUGCCUUUGCUCAUGACAUCGACCAGAAACUGUCUCACCUGGGAGCCUCCCAGCUUGCCCCAACCGGAGAAGGGGACGAACUCAGCGGGCAGGAGGACGCCUUCCGCAGCUGGGCUGUGCAAACCUUCCGGGCAGCCUGUGAGACGUUCGAUGUUCAAAGCAAACAUUGCAUUCAGAUCCCGAAACGCUACAUUUCCAACGCAACAUGGGAGCCAGAGCAGUACAAGCUCACCCAGAGCCCAGAGCCUCAAGACCUCAACAAAGCUCUCAGCAGCAUCCAUGUCAAGAACGUGUUCACCAUGAGGCUGAAAUCCCUCCAGAAUCUGCAGAGUGAGAAGUCCAGCCGCACCACCCUCCUCAUUCAACUCACCUUCGAGGGCAGCCGAGGCCCCAGCUACCUACCUGGGGAAGACCUGGGGAUUUUCCCAGGCCCUGGUGCAAGGGAUCUUGGAGCGAGUUGUGGAUUGUUUUUCGCCAGACCAAACUGUGUGCCUGGAGGUUCUAGAUGAGAGUGGCAGGUACUGGGUCAAAGACAAGACGCUUCCCCCCUGCUCACUCAGGCAAGCCCUCACCUACUUCCUGGACAUCACUACCCCUCCCACCCAGCUGCAGCUCCACAAGUUGGCCCAGUUUGCCACGGAAGAGACGCACAGGCAGAGGUUGGAGGCCUUGUGUCAGCCCUCAGAGUACAACGAUUGGAAGUUCAGCAACAACCCCACGUUCCUGGAGGUGUUGGAAGGGUUCCCAUCGUUGCGUGUGCCUGCUGCCUUCCUACUGUUGCUCCCCGUUCUGAAGCCCCGCUACUACUCCAUCAGCUCCUCCCAGGACCACACCCCCUCGGAGGUCCACCUCACUGUGGUCACCUAUCGCACCCGAGAUGGUCAGGGUCCUCUGCACCAUGGCGUCUGCAGCACUUGGAUCAAUAACCUGAAGCCUGAAGACCCAGUGCCCUGCUUUGUGCUGAGUGUCAGUGGCUUCCAGCUCCCUGAGGACCCCUCCCAGCCGUGCAUCCUCAUUGGGCCUGGCACAGGCAUUGCCCCCUUCCGAAGUUUCUGGCAGCAGCGGCUCCAUGACUCUCAGCACAGAGGGCUCAAAGGAGGCCGCAUGACCUUGGUGUUUGGGUGCAGGCACCCAGAGGAGGACCACCUCUAUCAGGAAGAAAUGCAGGAGAUGGUCCUCAAGGGAGUGUUGUUCCAGGUGCACACAGGCUACUCCCGGCUGCCCGGAAAACCCAAGGUCUACGUUCAAGACAUCCUGCAGAAAGAGCUGGCCAAUGUGUUCAGCGUGCUCCACGGGGAGCAGGGCCACCUCUAUGUUUGUGGCGAUGUGCGCAUGGCUCGGGAUGUGGCUACCACUUUGAAGAAGCUGGUGGCCGCCAAGCUGAACUUGAGUGAGGAGCAGGUUGAGGAUUACUUCUUCCAGCUCAAGAGCCAGAAACGUUAUCAUGAGGAUAUCUUCGGUGCAGUCUUUUCCUAUGGAGUGAAAAAGGGCAACACCUUGGAGGAGCCCAAAGGCACAAGACUCUGACACCCAGGAGAGUUACAGCAUCUGGCCCUAAAUAAAAUGACAGUGAGGGGUUUGGAGACACAGAAGUGCGAUUCCCCCCCAAACCCCUCACAUCAUCUCCCCUCCUCUACCCUACCAAGUAGUAUUGUACUAUUGUGGACUACUGAAUCUCUCUCCUCUCCCCCGUCCCCUAUUCUCCCUUCCCUCCCGUUUUCUCUACCCCUCCCCCACCUUCUCCUUCCUUUGCCUCAUACUUCCUCAGAGCUGAGAGCAGAGGAAAAUGAACCACCCGACUGAAGCACUUUGGGUGACCACCAGGAGGCGCCAUCCCGCUGCUCUAAUAUUUAGCUGCAUUGUGUACAGAUAUUUAUACUUUGUAUUUAAGAAAACAGAUACCUUCGUCCACUCCCAACGACCGCUUGGCCCUUCCGUGUAUAAUUCCUUGAUGAAGAUAUUUAUAUAAAAUGCAUUUUAUUUUAAUAAAAUGAGUGUUUGAUCAAGUUUUGUAGCGAAAGCAUUCUUGAGUCCUCUAUGGGCUGGGGUUGGUGGGUGCCACAGUCUGGACAGCGAUGCUCCCACGAGGGAGCAUGCUCACCAGGUCCCCAGGGGACAGCAGAUGAGGUUUGCGUUUGUCUGAAGCCAUGUAGUCAUGCAAAGUGACCCAGAUCAGAAGCCGGAGCUGGUGCUUCACACUCAAGGCACCUUCUGCAGGCUGUGGUCAGACCUGGGCUUCUUCGUGAGAGCCAGGGUUGCCUGAAGACCUCGCCCCUCACCCUAGCUUAUGAAGUGAUGUGCUUGGGCGCUGAGGAUGCAGCUCAGUUGGCAGUGUUUGCCUAGCGUACUCAAAGCCCUGAUUUGGAUCCCACGCACUGCGUAACCAUAGGCAACAGUGGCACUCGCUUGGAGUGGCCAGCACUUAGGAGGUGGAGGCAGGAGGAUUUAAAGUCUAAGAUCAUAGACCUCAAUACAGCUACAUAAUGACUUUGAGACCAUCUGAAAAAGAGAGAAAGUGUUGGCUGUGUCCCAUGACCUGUUUGAUGAGAGUUUAGCCAGUCAUGAUCUGGUACCUUGGUAGGACAGGUUUAGUUCUCUGCACUGACACCUUGCUGUGGUGGGCACCACCAUCCUCACCUGCUGUGGAGGUCAUCAGCUCCUGUUUGCACCAGCCAGCACAGCUCCGUACCAGACAGCCCCAUCGCUGGUCUCUGCCCUGCGCCAGCAUAAGCUAGUUCUCUCUUCCCAGCUGCAACAGAUGGGGCAGAAGAGGCAGGACCAAGGGGCCUAACAGCCUCUCAUUGCCCAUGGAAACCCCCUGCCCCUGGCAGUAAUGCAUCAACAGUGUGACCUGUCCAGUCACUUGGGUCAGGGUUUCCCAUGUGCUUAGGUACCCAGAGUCACCUGGGCAAUCUUAUUAAAAUGUAGACUGGAGCCGGGGUGGGGGAUGGCUCAGUUGGUGAAGUAUCUGUUAUGUGUUUGGUUCCCAGCACCCACACUAACAAAGCUAGUUGUGGGGUGUGUGUGUGUGUGUGUGUGUGUGUGUGUGUGUGUGUGUGUGUGUGAUCCCAGGGCUGGGAAGGUAAAGACAGGCAGACCCCUGGAGCUCACUGGCCACAAGCCAUGUCAAUCAGUGAGAGCUGGGUUCAAUGAGAGUCCCUGUCUCAAAAGAUAAGGUUGACAGAGAUAAUGGAAGACCCUCAUCAGGGGUUGGGGGGAUGGGAUAGCGGGGUUUCUAGAGGGGAAUCUGGGAAAGGGGAUAACAUUUGAAAUGUAAAUUAAAAAAUAAGACAACAAACAAACAAACAAACAAACAAAAAAGGAAGACACUCAGGCUGGGUGGUGGUGGCACACACCAUUAACCCCAGCAUUCUGGAGGCAGAAACAGGCAGAUCGCAGAGUUUCUGGCCAGCUUGAUCUACAGUGUGAGUUCUAGGGCAGCGGGGUCUACAGAGAGAAACCCUGUCUCGAAAAAAAUAAAGAUUCUUCUUCUCCAUCUCUUCUCUCUGCCCUUUCUCCCCCCAACCUCUCCAUGGCAACUCCCCUGGCCUCAAUCUUUGGGGCCAGUGAACUUGCCUGAGAGCAGCUUCCCAAUAAACCUGCCUUCAAUAAAAUCUAAGAGAGAGAGAGAGAGAGAGAGAGAGAGAGAGAAUUGGCCUAUGACUACACAACUUCACACACAUAUACCCAUACAUACACACCACACAUACAUACAAACUACACACAUACAUACUACACACAUAAUUCCACAUACACAUACAUACCACACAUACGAAGACACCACACCCUCAAAUACAUACACUAUACAUAUACCCAUAUAUACAUAUCAUACAUUCAUACAUACCACAUAGACACACACAAACACCACAUACAUAUAUAUACAUACCCACAUACAUACACAUCAUGUAUACAUACAUACAUAUCACACACACACCAUACAUAAACAUACCACACAAACAUCUCUCCUUCACUUACACACACACACACACACACACACACACACCAUACAUAAACACACCACACAAACAUCUCUCUCUCUCUUUCUCUCUCUCUCUCUCUCUUUUACACACACACACACACACACCAGACAUACACAGCCUCUGGCUUAGUAGGUCUGGAAGGACCCACUGCUGCUUUUUCUUUCACUUGUGUUUUGUGUUUUGUGAGACAAGGUCAUACUGUGUAACCCAGGCUGGUCUUGAACUUGCCAUGCUCCUGCCUCAGCCUGCCAGGUGAACGACUGCAUUUCUGACAAGCUCCCAGGUGUUGCUGAUGAUCUGAGGCCCCCACCCUGGUUCCUGAGGGAUGGGAACCUCAAUGAGUAACAGCAUUCAGGGGUUCCUCAUAUGUCAGGUCUUCAUCCCAAUCUCCUCUGCUGGGGAGCCCGCAGCAGGCCAGCUCCUCCUUACCCCAUUACCUCACCUCCCACCCAGCACAAGUUGCCAAGGCUCCCACCACCUCUGCCCAGCACCAUCUCCACCUCAGGAGCAUGGGUUGGUCCCUGGUUUACACCGAGGAUGGCAUUCUUGUCAGAGACCCUGGGCCCCAGCCUGCACCCAGUUAUAACAGGACCUUGUGGGGUUUGGGAGGAGGGACCCCUGUAAGCAGGUGUGGGCAGACUUGUCUCCGCCCAUUCCCUUUGGUAGGUUCCAGAAUGUCUCCAGACCCAUUCAGUAACCCAGCCAUCUCAUGUGUGUGUAGACAAGCGUUGAUAUUCUUUAUUUUAUGGGCAUUGGGAAAGAUUGGGGAAAAGGUAAUGUGGACAUUCUGGGUCAGCUGGAGGCCAAUGGGAUGACAUCAAGGUGGCCCUCCUGGAGGGGUGAAGGGAAAGGUCAGAGAAAGGGGCAAACCCAGGGAGGUCACUUCCCUCAGAAGAUGACUAGCUUGGGAGCAAUGGCUGACACUGUGGGCUCACAGCCAUGUGUCCCAUAGCCCAGGACUCCCCCUUUGUGGAGGGUGUGAAUUGGGAAUGCCACCUUCC